rnacentral:lncRNA from 1 species
CACAGACCUGCCGGGCCAUCUUUCUGCAAGAAGAUAAAGGAAGACCAGGAGUGCCUGCCGAACUCCUAUGGAGGAAGUCUAGGAGAGGAAGGGGACAGGGAGGAAGAUGGUGUCUGCAAACCAGGAAGCAGCCUUGCCAGACACAGGAUUGGCCACAACCUUGACCCCAGACUUCCAGCCUCCAGAACUGUGAAGGACUGAGUUCAUUUUCAGCGUGUCUGGCUUUUCCAUUUCUGUGGCCUGGGAAGGUGGGUGGCUACAUCAUCAUCCAUGGUCUCUGAAAUAUCCUGUGUUACCAAGGCCUGCUUGUUCCACCAAACUGCUCCAUAGGCAGUUGUGACACCCAGAAAGAUGCUGAUAUGGUUUGGCUGUGUCCCCACCCAAAUCUC